GGGAGCGACUUGGCUUCGACAGGAGUAAGUCUGCUUAGAUGGCAUGUCGCUUUGGGCAAAGCGUAAAAAGCCCAAAUAAAAUUAAACGCAAACAACGUUAAAUUUGCUCCUGCUUACGCUAAAGCUGCGUAAGUUCAGUUGAGCCUGAAAUUUAAGUCAUACUAUUCUAGCUUAAUUUUCGGUCAUCUUUGAUAGUGUAGCCUUGCGUUUGACAAACGUUGAGGUGAAAUAAGGUCUUAGCCUUGCUUUUGAGUUUUGGAAGAUGAGCGAAGUAGGGUGAAGUAGUCAUCUUUGCUAAGCAUGUAGAGGUCUUUGUGGGAUUAUUUUUGGACAGGGGUUCGAUUCCCCUCGCUUCCACCA
rnacentral:tmRNA from 1 species